CUUCCUACGGGGCGCAGCAGUGAGGAAUAUUGGUCAAUGGGCGGGAGCCUGAACCAGCCAUGCCGCGUGAAGGCGAGUGCCCUACGGGCGUUAAACUUCUUUUGUGCGGGAGCAAUAAGGGCCACGUGUGGCCCGAUGAGAGUACCGCACGAAUAAGCCACGGCUAACUACGUGCCAGCAGCCGCGGUAAUACGUAGGUGGCAAGCGUUAUCCGGAUUUACUGGGUGUAAAGGGCGUGUAGGCGGGAUGGUAAGUCAGAUGUGAAAACUACGGGCUCAACCCAUAGCCUGCAUUUGAAACUAUCG
rnacentral:rRNA from 1 species